rnacentral:rRNA from 1 species
CUACGGGGGGCUGCAGUGGGGAAUAUUGCACAAUGGGGGAAACCCUGAUGCAGCAACGCCGCGUGGAGGAUGACACAUUUCGGUGCGUAAACUCCUUUUAUAGGUCAAGAUAAUGACGGUAGCCUAUGAAUAAGCGCCGGCUAACUCCGUGCCAGCAGCCGCGGUAAUACGGAGGGCGCAAGCGUUACUCGGAAUCACUGGGCGUAAAGAGCAUGUAGGCGGGUUAAUAAGUCAGAAGUGAAAUCCAAUAGCUCAACUAUUGAACUGCCUUUGAAACUGUUAACCUAGAGUGUGGGAGAGGUAGAUGGAAUUUCUGGUGUAGGGGUAAAAUCCGUAGAGAUCAGAAGGAAUACCGAUUGCGAAGGCGAUCUACUGGAACAUUACUGACGCUGAGAUGCGAAAGCGUGGGGAGCAAACAGGAUUAGAUACCCGCGAGUC